rnacentral:rRNA from 1 species
CAGUAGCCGCGGGAAUACGUAGGUGGCAAGCGUUGUCCGGAAUUAUUGGGCGUAAAGGGCUCGCAGGCGGUUUCUUAAGUCUGAUGUGAUAGCCCCCGGCUCAACCGGGGAGGGUCAUUGGAAACUGGGAAACUUGAGUGCAGAAGAGGAGAGUGGAAUUCCACGUGUAGCGGUGAAAUGCGUAGAGAUGUGGAGGAAUACCAGUGGCGAAGGCGACUCUCUGGUCUGUAACUGACGCUGAGGAGCGAAAGCGUGGGGAGCGAACAGGAUUAGAUACCCGUGUAGUCCCUGUCUCUUAUAC